GCCUAGAUGAUCUAGACUUCU
rnacentral:piRNA from 1 species